rnacentral:lncRNA from 1 species
UUAAGCCACCUAGUUCAUGGUAAUUUGUUACGGUGGCCCCAGAGACCCUAUAUACUGGGUGACCCCGGACAAGUCCUCUCCUUUUCAGCCCCCUCCACGCGGCUGCCGGGGCCCCUGCUCACUGGCCCCGGAUGCCAGCCGGCCAGGGACCCUUCCAGGACCUGUGGGGCAUGGAGGGCCAGGGAGACUCCCCGGGGACAGCACUGGGUGGGCCCGGCAGGUCUGUGUCUGUCUGUACAGACAUGCUGGGGGGCUGGGGUCAGGAGAUGCGUAGACCUUGGUGCCCUGGACGAGACGCCAUUACCUUUGGGGCCUCAGUUUUCCUCUUCUGUAAGGUGAGAGCCCUCUUGCCUCCUGGAUGAGCUGUGAGCAUUCACGGGGUUUCACCUAUAGACACGGAAGGUCCUUCAUCUGUCCUGGGCUCGCUCAGGAGUGUCGCUGUUUUGCAAGGCUGAAGUCUGAGUCCCUCAGAGGUGAGCACCCGGCCGUAUGCCUCGGUGAACCUAUAAUGAGGGUCACGGCCCCCCACAAAACCACAGUCCCGGCACUGUUGGGAAACUACCCCUUUCUGACGGUUGAGGCAUUCGGGUUUGGAGACACUGCUUUGAGGCUUUGGUGGGCUGCAGGGGGGAGGGAGGGGAGGUGAUCCUGUCCAUCCCUCUGCCCUCAGCCUAAACCCAAGCACUUGCUGCCCUUGGGGGGCGACUAGGACAUCCCUAGUGCCCCACUUUUCCUUCCCGCCCAAUGAGAUAAGGCGUGCCUAUUCACCCCUUGGCUCAGAAGGUUUUUUCAUUCUGUACAAGCGUGCGUGUGGAGCCCGCUCUUGACGGUCUAAAACAGUUCCGCUUUCACAGAACUGUGAUCAUUUUGGGAAAGGGGGUCUGUUACGAGUAUAUCUUGGCCUGGGUGUUUCUUUAAACAUCUGGGCGAAUGUUCACAUAAAUCAGGUCACACUACUCAGGGGAGAAGGAACCCUGGACUGGCUUCUGUCCCCAUUUUUGGUUUGGAAAAUGUUUUUCCAAGCCCCACCUACACUGAUCCGAGGUCAUCCGUGGCAAAAGAGAAACAGCCAGCCCGGGCUUCCAGAUGGUAAAAAGUCACUUUUUUGGGGGGUAAUAUUUAACCCAUCUUAUCACAUAGGUCCAGGGGAAAGGAUUCAGGCUUUGAAAGCUACUGAUUCAGGGGCAGCCUCAGACUGGCUGUGCGGCUUUGGGUGAGUCCCUGGACUUCCUCUGAAACCUGGUUCUUGAGGGUAGAGGUAGGGCAUGGUUACGCCUGGAUAGGUUUUUGUUUUCUGGUUUGAGCUUUUUUUCUUUUUUUUCCCCCUGUUUAAAAAUAAAGGUGAAAUUUAUAUCA